AAGUUGUUUUCAGUGAAAUCUUUUUGAGAGAAGCUGCAUGUCCUUCGUGUAUGAUCUUGGACGUUUUUUUUAGGUUGACGACUUAAAUACUUGGAGGGGCUACUUUAGAAGUGCACGUUUUUUAGGGAGUGAUGUGUGUACCAUUGUGACCAUUCGUCUCGUGAUAAGGCAGUCUGGAGAAGGAUGCCCAUGCCAGGAGGGAGGUCAAGGCACCAACUCAUUCCUCUUCCUAGACACUUCCAUUUAUCAGGCCUGACUGCAUGCAUCACACACCCUCAAGUCCCUCAGUUAUUGGGAGGACAAACAUACUGAGGGCAGAAUUACCAUGGAGCACGCACGCCUAGCCAAAGGCCCAACAGAGCCAAUGGUUUAUUUCCAUUCUGUGGCCAGGGAAUUGUCUCCAGAAUGCUUGCAGUGAGAAAACUCAUUCCGAUGAUCUGGGUCAGAUAGAGACACUUCCAUCGGCCACAGACAAUUCAGGCUUGGAAUGACGACAGAACUUUAAAGAGAGAGAGAGGGAGGGAGAGACUGCCUCAAGACAAGAUGUACCACAGAUGAUAAAACAAGGGGAGUUGAUAUCUACUCAGUGGUCUGCCAGACAGAUAAAUACUUUGCUCUGUGUGUGUGUGUGUGUGUGUGUGUGUGUGUGUGUGUGUGUGUGUGUGUGUGUGUGUGUGUGUGUGUGUGUCCCUUGAAUGAAUAUGCACAGUCCAAGCUGUUUACAUUCACCUCCAUCAAACAGGUAAAGCUGUGUGGUUAUAUAUACACAUUUCUCCUUUUGUCAUGUGGUGCUAUAAAUUGCUCUGGGCUUCUCAUAAAUCCAUGCAAGACCACUUGAAGGGGAAAUGUUUUCUGUUUUCUCUGGUAUCACUUUGACUUUUGAGGAAAUUGGUUUGCAAAGAAGACAUGUAUCAAAAAAGAUCUAUCUAUCUAUUUCAUGUCUGAGGAAUAUAUAUUUUCUCUUUUGUAUGUAAGUAGGCUCCAAUAUUCAACUUUAAUGCCAUACUCAUGUAUUUAAGCAUGCAACAUGCAUAGCAAGCAAAUAUGCCAGUCAGACUCAGUCAAUUUUAAAUUUACAGCCAUUUUAAAACAAAACUUAGCAUAAAAAGUUUGGAAUGCUGCUACGAUGCAGUGAAAGACUAUUGAUAAAAGAGAAACAUCAUUGCUCUGAAUUUUGAUGUAGCCAUCUGCCAAACAGUUUACUUAUCCUGUGUUUGUUGAGAAAUAGAGGAGGUGUGGGCAAAUAUUUACAGCAGCUGUUCUUUCUCUGAUACAGACAAAGCAAGUAAACACAGGUGUAAUCUUGGAUACAAAUUAGAAGACUUAAGUUUGUGAUCCACGUCCACAAGAUAUGUCUCUCCCUUAUUACUGCUGGUCAACCCUUUGGCAAGAAAGAGUGUGGCUCCCAAAUAACACGUGAAAAUAGAUGUUAACACCAAAAAAAAAUCAGCAAAACACACUCAAGUAACAAUGCAUGCAAUGAUGACUGACUGUAAUCAUUCUAUAUUAGUUUAUGGUAGUUGUGUGUGUGUGUAUAUAUAUAGUGAUAUAGGUUCUAUAUUAAAGGAGACAUUUUUGUGAGGAAAAGUAAUAUCUGGAAGUUUAAUUAAUAGGGGGAACUCCGAUAUGGUGAUGUUUUUUAAAUGUUGGGGAAAACAAAUGUAAAUAUAAGAAUAUUAAAGAAACAUUUUACAACAAAAUAAGGUAUUACGGGGAUAUGUUUUGCAGAAAUAUCUGCACAUUCUUCUAGCAACUCCUUCUAGAAAUCAUUAUCGACUUAUUCUUUGCCAUGAACAGUUCCACGUAGGAAACUAUUUCCUGAAUUUGAUUUUCGAGUAAACUCUCCCUUCAAGGUCUUUGUCCAAAGAAUGAAAAAAAGAUGAAAGAAAUGUUAGCUCAAGACAUAUGAGGAGUUUCACAUUCUUUCACAUAUUUGCCAUUCUUGCCUUGUCAUUUCUACUGGGAAUCAGUCGUCAUGACUUCAGCUUGUUAAUAAAUGUCUAAACUGACCAUCGAUUUGAGAGUCUGAAUCACCCUUCAGCCUGUGGCAGAAUCAUCAUCCCUCCAAUCUCCCUUUACUGUCUUGGUGUAAAUCAUCACAAACUACACAACCAUUGUAAAUGUCAUUCUAUAAAUAUCAUCCAUAUGUUGUUAUGCUAUAUGGAUUCUAAAGCCCCAUGGGGCUAAUUGGUGAAUUGUGACAGUGGGGUAUCUAAACUGAAAUUGAACAGUGAUGUAAUCAGGAUGGCUCAGUUUACAAAAUGUCCACAUCGCCAGAUAAUCUGAGCUGACAAUCACAGCCUAGCGUCUGAUCACGAUUUCUCCUACAGCAGGAUGAGCGCAGUAUCAGAUCCACUUCAUUCAAGAAGGGGAGCUAAAGGGAAUGAGAUGGUGAAAUGCACUGCGAUACCAAAUAUAAUUAGAUUGUGCAUAAAAUGAUAAAUAAGUAUGAGGUGUUUUACAGGCAUACUUUUUAGCAGUGUUUUUUCCCUUCUUUCUCUCGUCUUAAUUGCAUCAGAUUAGAACGGUAGCACUAAAAAAAGCACUAUGAGUACUUAUUUAUAUGAAAGCCACUUCUUAGUUGCUAGAAUAGUGAAUGCCAUUGUCCAGCAUAUGACAGCCUUGUUUGAAAUAUCAAAGUGAAAUAAAAAAGUAAUAACUUGUCAGGUUUGCUAAGAGGCGUAAAGAGAGCAUCAGGCUAUUUGUACAGAUAUGAGUAAAAACCAAGGCAGCCAGGGAGUGUGAUCCACUUUAAUUAAUAGCUCUCCAUCUUUGGAGGAUGGCCCAAAAUUAGACAAAACCACAUACUGCUCCCAUUGUCCCUGCUGUCACUGUCAGAGAAAUAAUUUGGAGUCUAGCCACAGACCAAAAGGGAGCGUGUGUAAGGGAUUUAGAGGCACUGUAAAUGGGUAAUAUUAUAAGCAUGAUGGUGGUUAUUGGGGUAUAUCUUAUUGAAACAGAACACCAAUGCCAUUGUUCUAAAUUAUUUUAAUCUUCAUUGCAGUAUUGAUAAGACAUAAACUUGCUAAGAAUGCAUAAGGUUUCAGUUAUAUGUACAUUAACAUCCUACAAUAAACCGGAAGACACUGAAUAACACUUCAUGUUUUAAAUGUAUCUGUAGUUUAAGAGCUCUACUGUGCAGCUGUCAUAUUAGAAAUAAACAGCAGCAGCCAGAGUGCAGUGAACAGUAAAAUAAAUAUAACUUGAGAAAAUAUUCUUCUUUCCACUGUGUGCCUAUGUGAUGAUCGUGGAUUCACAAGAUUAGCAAACGUCUGUAGAAUUACUCUCUUGUCUUAUUUGCAGGACCAGCAGUGCAUUUACCAUUUAUUUUUUUAUCAUCCUUACAGAUCUUUUAUCACCUGUUUUUCUGAUAAUGUCUCUGAUUAGAGUAGGUGGGUCAAAUCACGCAUCAAACACCCCCUUUUAUGUGAGUUCACACAGGGCCUUAAGCAUAUGGCCUGGGUUUACAAAGAAAGACGAUAACCCCCAUCGUGACCGUGAUACUAGUUAUCUAUGACUAGUAUCUGUGCCAUACAGUAGAGCCCACAUGGAGAACCUACACACAGUUCUAACUCUAGUAUGACCUAGCAGACCUUUAUAUAGUCAAAGGUGUGGAAAGUCAAGCUGUCACUGAGUCAUUUUGCCACCCCCAGAAGCUGAAUCAAAAGUAUGAACAACACUAAAACAUAGUGGUUAAGAUUAAGAAAACAGCAGCUUUUUGCCUUCAUAUAGAAUCAAAAAAAUUAUCCCAAUAUAAUUUAUGAUCAGAAAUAGGGAACUGCUUAACUUUGUCAUGGUCUGUUUAUGAACAUUGCACUUCAUGGUAGAAAAACAGCAUGUGAUAUUCUACGUCCGUGACAAUCCAAUAACAAAAAAUGUUAGUCCCUGGCUUCAAUAAGGAAGAGCAGAACAUAAAAUAGACUCUUAAUAAUGUGCAUCCUCCCUGUAGAACAUGAAGAUAUUGUUUUGAAGAGUUCAAUAUGCCUACGUGGUGGCCUGCUGCUAUAUGUAGACUGUAUGACAGGGUUUUUAAAAUGAACAGUCAAUUGCUUUUGUCUGACCCCAUCAAGCAGUCAAUGCGCAGUUGAUGAUUACCACUGAUAAUAACAUUUUCAGUGGAACAUUCAAUCUUUUUUUUGUCUGUCUACUUUUGAUUGCCCUGCUGUAAUUUUUAUACUCAAAGCACAGUAUGUCAUUGAAUUAAUAUUAUUGAUGUCAACAGCAGAAUCUCACAAUCUCUAGACAACUGACUUGCAAAAUCUAUACAACUUGCUAAUUGGUUUAUUACCAUUUUAUCUGUUAGUAAAAUCUUUUAAAUGACAAGUGUGCAGAUGCAAAGGCAGACGUAAAGGCUGUAGGAGGCCUGACGAGGAGACAAAAACACAGAUGGAAGGACUGAGUCAGGAAAAGUGUGCGUUAGAGCGAUGUACUUUAUAAUGCUAAAUGGAGUUGGGAGACUGUCAAUCUACAGCCAGACUGCUUGAUGGAAAUAACACUUGGACUUUAUUGUAGUCCUAAAAGAGAAGUGGUGUCUCCUAAAUCAUUUAACAUUGUUGCUGUUUUAAAACUUUGGGGAUAGCUACCUGACUUUGCCAAAGAUUUAUAUCUCUUGAGGGAUUAAAUAUGUCUUCAGGUGAGUGUGAGGACACAAACUGGUGCAGGUGCAUGCUCUUUUAGUUAACUUAUGUUGCCAAACACUGUGCCAAACAGGGAUUUUUUUUUUACUUGUCUAGUACGCCUGUCUGUCCUGAUUAUCAAAGAUAAAUAUAUUCAAACUUCUCUUUGACCAAACUGUUGAAGUACUUGCUGGAUUCUCAAGGUAGUUGAAGAAUGUUCCCUUUUCUUCAGUUUCUCUUAAAAAAAAUCUUGUUUUUAUCAUUAAUGACUGCUUUCUAGCCUGUGCUGUUUUUCAGAUUUUGAGCCUGCUUCUUUGUUUUCUCACCCUCUUCAGGUUUACUUUUUCAAAUGGAAAUUUACUUUCUCUUUAUGUUUAUAUUCCUCAGUGGUCUCUGAACCCACUUUGACCUUAUUCUGAAGGAGAAAUAAUGCCAAAUUCGCAAAUAAAGUUUUAGUUAUCAAAACCAUCAAACAGAGGAUUGCUUCAAGGCCUUUAAGAUUUAUAUGUGAUUCAUCUUUCAUUACAUUCACUUACUUUAACUCUCAAGACUGACUUUGUAAGGGUCUCAUCAGAAACACUGUAAAGUGAAUAAGAUGCUCAAUGGGAGCUCUACAUGGGUUCAACUUAGCACAUUGUGUGGUUUUGCUGAGUGUACUGUAUGAUGGUGGUGAUGUAACCUUUAACUGUUUAACUGCUGUAUCACUGCUUUGGGCCUCUUCUUGUUUCUUCAUUUAAAGGAAUAUAUGCAGGUCAUGGGUGGGGAAAGCUGACCAACAGUUUUUCUGAUAACCAAGAACUUGAGAUUCAGAAAAAAUAUAAUUAUUAAAUUAUUCUAGAAAAAAGUACUGCAGUUUGAGAAAACUUUACUUCAGUUGUCUAACCUUACUUUGCACCAGAUGGAAAGGUUUCAUUACGUCAGAUAUCAAUCCAAAAUGUAAUAACCCCACUUUUUGAUGACUGGAGUUGCUCUGUUGCUCUGAUAAAUAGAUAAUGACAUUUUCAGCUCAUACUCAUUUAGGCACCUAAAAUAUGUGCAUAAUUUGAAACUUGAAACUUGUAAUUGCCCCAAGUAAAAAUUAAACAUAGUGAGUAAUGGACACAUUGGUUGUUCUGACAUUUAACAAAU